GGGGAUAACACUGAGAAAUUGGUACUAAUACCCCAUAAUAUCUCAUGCGGCAUCGCAUGGGGUUGAAAACUCCGGUGGUUGAUGAUGGGCAUGCGUUGUAUUAGCUGGUUGGUGAGGUAACGGCUCACCAAGGCGACGAUACAUAGGGGGACUGAGAGGUUAACCCCCCACAUUGGUACUGAGACACGGACCAAACUCCUACGGGAGGCAGCAGUGAGGAAUAUUGGUCAAUGGACGCAAGUCUGAACCAGCCAUGCCGCGUGCAGGGUGACGGCUCUAUGAGUUGUAAACUGCUUUUGUACGAGGGUAAACCCCGAUACGUGUAUCGGGUUGAAAGUAUCGUACGAAUAAGGAUCGGCUAACUCCGUGCCAGCAGCCGCGGUAAUACGGAGGAUCCGAGCGUUAUCCGGAUUUAUUGGGUUUAAAGGGUGCGUAGGCGGUUUGAUAAGUUAGAGGUGAAAUGUCGGGGCUCAACCCCGAAACUGCCUCUAAUACUGUUGGACUAGAGAAUAGUUGCGGUAGGCGGAAUGUAUGGUGUAGCGGUGAAAUGCUUAGAGAUCAUACAGAACACCGAUUGCGAAGGCAGCUUACCAAACUAUAUCUGACGUUGAGGCACGAAAGCGUGGGUAGCAAACAGGAUUAGAUACCCUGGUAGUCCACGCAGUAAACGAAAU
rnacentral:rRNA from 1 species